rnacentral:rRNA from 1 species
GACGAACGCUGGCGGCGUGCCUAAUACAUGCAAGUCGAACGAACCGCGACUAGGUGCUUGCACUUGGUCAAGGUGAGUGGCGAACGGGUGAGUAACACGUGGGUAACCUACCUCAUAGUGGGGGAUAACAGUCGGAAACGACUGCUAAUACCGCAUAGGACAUAGGAUCACAUGAUCCAGUGAGGAAAGGUGGCGCAAGCUAUCGCUAAGAGAUGGACCCGCGGUGCAUUAGCUAGUUGGUAGGGUAAAGGCCUACCAAGGCGAUGAUGCAUAGCCGACCUGAGAGGGUGAUCGGCCACAUUGGGACUGAGACACGGCCCAAACUCCUACGGGAGGCAGCAGUAGGGAAUCUUCCGCAAUGGACGCAAGUCUGACGGAGCAACGCCGCGUGAGUGAAGAAGGUCUUCGGAUCGUAAAGCUCUGUUGCUAGAGAAGAACAGCGCAUAGAGUAACUGUUAUGCGUGUGACGGUAUCUAACCAGAAAGCCACGGCUAACUACGUG